UGCAAGUCGAGCGGCAGCACGGGUACUUGUACCUGGUGGCGAGCGGCGGACGGGUGAGUAAUGCCUAGGAAUCUGCCUGGUAGUGGGGGAUAACGCUCGGAAACGGACGCUAAUACCGCAUACGUCCUACGGGAGAAAGCAGGGGACCUUCGGGCCUUGCGCUAUCAGAUGAGCCUAGGUCGGAUUAGCUAGUUGGUGAGGUAAUGGCUCACCAAGGCGACGAUCCGUAACUGGUCUGAGAGGAUGAUCAGUCACACUGGAACUGAGACACGGUCCAGACUCCUACGGGAGGCAGCAGUGGGGAAUAUUGGACAAUGGGCGAAAGCCUGAUCCAGCCAUGCCGCGUGUGUGAAGAAGGUCUUCGGAUUGUAAAGCACUUUAAGUUGGGAGGAAGGGCAGUUACCUAAUACGUGAUUGUUUUGACGUUACCGACAGAAUAAGCACCGGCUAACUCUGUGCCAGCAGCCGCGGUAAUACAGAGGGUGCAAGCGUUAAUCGGAAUUACUGGGCGUAAAGCGCGCGUAGGUGGUUUGUUAAGUUGAAUGUGAAAUCCCCGGGCUCAACCUGGGAACUGCAUCCAAAACUGGCAAGCUAGAGUAUGGUAGAGGGUGGUGGAAUUUCCUGUGUAGCGGUGAAAUGCGUAGAUAUAGGAAGGAACACCAGUGGCGAAGGCGACCACCUGGACUGAUACUGACACUGAGGUGCGAAAGCGUGGGGAGCAAACAGGAUUAGAUACCCUGGUAGUCCACGCCGUAAACGAUGUCAACUAGCCGUUGGGAGCCUUGAGCUCUUAGUGGCGCAGCUAACGCAUUAAGUUGACCGCCUGGGGAGUACGGCCGCAAGGUUAAAACUCAAAUGAAUUGACGGGGGCCCGCACAAGCGGUGGAGCAUGUGGUUAAUUCGAAGCAACGCGAAGACCUUACCAGGCCUUGACUCCAAUGAACUUUCCAGAGAUGGAUGGGUGC
rnacentral:rRNA from 1 species